rnacentral:rRNA from 1 species
UACGUAGGGUGCAAGCGUUGUCCGGAAUUAUUGGGCGUAAAGAGCUCGUAGGCGGUCUGUCGCGUCGGCUGUGAAAACUCGGGGCUCAACUCCGAGCUUGCAGUCGAUACGGGCAGGCUAGAGUUCGGCAGGGGAGACUGGAAUUCCUGGUGUAGCGGUGAAAUGCGCAGAUAUCAGGAGGAACACCGGUGGCGAAGGCGGUCUCUUGGGGCAUUCUUGACGCUGAGGCGCGAAAGCUGGGGGAGCGAACGGG